GACGAACGCUGGCGGCAAGCUUAACACAUGCAAGUCGAACGCCGUAGCAAUACGGAGUGGCAGACGGGUGAGUAACACGUGGGAACGUGCCUUUCGGUUCGGAACAACUGAGGGAAACUUCAGCUAAAACCGGAUACGCCCUUCGGGGGAAAGUUUACGCCGAAAGAUCGGCCCGCGUCAGAUUAGGUAGUUGGCGGGGUAAUGGCCCACCAAGCCGAUGAUCUGUAGCUGUUCUGAGAGGAAGAUCAGCCACACUGGGACUGAGACACGGCCCAGACUCGUACGGGAGGCAGCAGUGGGGAAUAUUGGACAAUCGGCGCAAGCCUGAUCCAGCUAUGCCGCGUGGAUGAAGAUGGCCUUCGGGUUGUAAAGUCCUUUCGGCGGGGAAGAUAAUGACGGUACCCGCAGAAGAAGCCCCGGCUAAUUUCGUGCCAGCCGCCGCAGUAAGAC
rnacentral:rRNA from 1 species